GGAAAAAGACAGUUUAUAAUUUUAAAUUUUUUUCCAACAUUUACAAAUGUGCCCUCACCAACACUUGAACAAUGUGUUGAAGCUUUGGUGAGUCCAUCUUGCUCGCAAACAUGUUCAGGAUGCGGUUCGUACUUGAGC